UUUGAGUAUAUCCAUAUAUUCAAAUCAAAAUGGGCAAAAAAACACCAUUAACAU
rnacentral:sRNA from 1 species